rnacentral:rRNA from 1 species
GAGUUUGAUCCUGGCUCAGGAUGAACGCUGGCGGCGUGCCUAAUACAUGCAAGUCGAGCGAACGGACGAGAAGCUUGCUUCUCUGAUGUUAGCGGCGGACGGGUGAGUAACACGUGGAUAACCUACCUAUAAGACUGGGAUAACUUCGGGAAACCGGAGCUAAUACCGGAUAAUAUUUUGAACCGCAUGGUUCAAAAGUGAAAGACGGUCUUGCUGUCACUUAUAGAUGGAUCCGCGCUGCAUUAGCUAGUUGGUAAGGUAACGGCUUACCAAGGCAACGAUGCAUAGCCGACCUGAGAGGGUGAUCGGCCACACUGGAACUGAGACACGGUCCAGACUCCUACGGGAGGCAGCAGUAGGGAAUCUUCCGCAAUGGGCGAAAGCCUGACGGAGCAACGCCGCGUGAGUGAUGAAGGUCUUCGGAUCGUAAAACUCUGUUAUUAGGGAAGAACAUAUGUGUAAGUAACUGUGCACAUCUUGACGGUACCCAAUCAGAAAGCCACGGCUAACUACGUGCCAGCAGCCGCGGUAAUACGUAGGUGGCAAGCGUUAUCCGGAAUUAUUGGGCGUAAAGCGCGCGUAGGCGGUUUUUUAAGUCUGAUGUGAAAGCCCACGGCUCAACCGUGGAGGGUCAUUGGAAACUGGAAAACUUGAGUGCAGAAGAGGAAAGUGGAAUUCCAUGUGUAGCGGUGAAAUGCGCAGAGAUAUGGAGGAACACCAGUGGCGAAGGCGACUUUCUGGUCUGUAACUGACGCUGAUGUGCGAAAGCGUGGGGAUCAAACAGGAUUAGAUACCCUGGUAGUCCACGCCGUAAACGAUGAGUGCUAAGUGUUAGGGGGUUUCCGCCCCUUAGUGCUGCAGCUAACGCAUUAAGCACUCCGCCUGGGGAGUACGACCGCAAGGUUGAAACUCAAAGGAAUUGACGGGGACCCGCACAAGCGGUGGAGCAUGUGGUUUAAUUCGAAGCAACGCGAAGAACCUUACCAAAUCUUGACAUCCUUUGACAACUCUAGAGAUAGAGCCUUCCCCUUCGGGGGACAAAGUGACAGGUGGUGCAUGGUUGUCGUCAGCUCGUGUCGUGAGAUGUUGGGUUAAGUCCCGCAACGAGCGCAACCCUUAAGCUUAGUUGCCAUCAUUAAGUUGGGCACUCUAAGUUGACUGCCGGUGACAAACCGGAGGAAGGUGGGGAUGACGUCAAAUCAUCAUGCCCCUUAUGAUUUGGGCUACACACGUGCUACAAUGGACAAUACAAAGGGCAGCGAAACCGCGAGGUCAAGCAAAUCCCAUAAAGUUGUUCUCAGUUCGGAUUGUAGUCUGCAACUCGACUACAUGAAGCUGGAAUCGCUAGUAAUCGUAGAUCAGCAUGCUACGGUGAAUACGUUCCCGGGUCUUGUACACACCGCCCGUCACACCACGAGAGUUUGUAACACCCGAAGCCGGUGGAGUAACCUUUUAGGAGCUAGCCGUCGAAGGUGGGACAAAUGAUUGGGGUGAAGUCGUAACAAGGUAGCCGUAUCGGAAGGUGCGGCUGGAUCACC